GAGCAUUAGGUCUCUCUCCCCUCCUCAAUUCCAUCAGGUCUUCUCCUUUUUGCUUUUUUUGUUUUUUUUUUUUUUGGCGUUCUGUCUCUCUCCCCUCCUCAAUUGAGUCAAUUCCAUCCGAUUCUCAUCGACCUCAGUACUUCACUACUCAGCCGCUCAGGUUGUGGCUGUCUAACAAUUUUCUGGGAUUCUGAGAAUUGAGAAAAUUAGAGAAGGAGCUGUGAGCAAACUCAGAGUCUUAUCUCAGUCAUCUGAGUCUUUGAUCUUCAAGGAACCAGGUACCACAUCUUUUGAAGAAAACAUAACCACCCCAGUAUUCUGGUGUUUGUGACUUCGAGGAAACAUCCAAGCUUCAUUCCAGUCUGUCAGGUGGCCUUCAGGUGGUCUUAGGAUUGAUUGCAUGAGUUCAAUCCUUAAUGGGUACUGAGGAAGCCUACGAAGUUUCGUGAUCGCAGGUGAGCCAAGAAGAACACGCUGUUGAUUUGUGAUUAAAGGUGAGCUACACCGAGCAUUCUGCAAACUUGUGGCUGGAGGUGAAGUAAUUUAUUCCUUUGGCGCUGCAUAAAGAUUCCUCCAGAGCAGUUUCUUCACUUUGUGAACCCAAGAACUUUGCAGACUUGUAGUUGGUGUGAACUGGCAGCCCCAGGCGUUCACUUGACACUCGUUUUUGCCACCCAUAUGCAGGACGCACUGCGAUACAGGCAUAAAAAACAAGUGCAGUGCACCCUCUAGUUUGGACCUUACUUCCGCCACCCAUACGCAAGACGCACCGCAGUAUAGGCAUUGAAAGAAGGCUGAAAACACAGGUGAGCCUUUUCCCUUGCCGAAAUCUCUUCUCCUCCAUCUCUGUGAACGUGCUUCUUUUUUUGUCUCAUUGGACCUGCACUGUUUGUUAACACAACGACAAAUGGAGGUGUAUUUGGUUGUUUUGUUUUCUGAUUUUGGUGGGCAACAAUGAGGGAUUUGAGGCUUUGUGAGUUGGUGUAUUUAGCUUUGGGGGGUAUGGAGAAUUUGUUUCUGAUGCUGUUUGGAAGGGUUAUAGAGCCACAUAGCAAUAAGCAGAGGAAGGACUUUCUGCACUCAUGAACACAUCAACAAUGAUAAAGGAAAAGUACCAGUAAAGACCAUGGAGAAGUGACUAGCAGGAUACAUGAACUUGAUGCUCUCCUAUCGUUGGGUUGUAGUCUCCAGCUUUGUCUUCUUUAUAUAGGAGGCAGCAAAGGCUCUAGAGGCUGGAUAAAUGCUCGUUUGAAAUUUAAAUUUUCGGAGGCUCACGUGGAUAAGCUGUUGAACAGAGAUUUGCUCCUUGACUCCGAUAUUGAACUUAGACACCCCUUGCCACUUUGUUCUUAUCUCACUUUGAGAUGUUUGAAUCACAAUUUGAAUGCUUUCUUUUGUUUCUAUAGCUUUUC